UAUGGGAGUUAUAGUGAGGGUUGAUAGUGGGUGCAGGUGAAUUAUGGGAGUUAUAGUGAGGGCUGAUAGUGGGUGCAGGUGAAUUAUGGGAGUUGUAGUGAGGGUUGAUAGUGGGUGCAGGUGAAUUAUGGGAGUUAUAGUGAGGGCUGAUAGUGGGUGCAGGUGAAUUAUGGGAGUUGGAGUGAGGGUCUGAUAGUGGGUGCAGGUGAAUUAUGGGAGUUGUAGUGAGGGUUGAUAGUGGGUGCAGGUGAAUUAUGGGAGUUGUAGUGAGGGUUGAUAGUGGGUGCAGGUGAAUUAUGGGAGUUGGAGUGAGGGUCUGAUAGUGGGUGUAGGUGAAUUAUGGGAGUUGUAGUGAGGGUCUGAUAGUGGGUGCAGGUGAAUUAUGGGAGUUGUAGUGAGGGUCUGAUAGUGGGUGCAGGUGAAUUAUGGGAGUUGGAGUGAGGGUCUGAUAGUGGGUGCAGGUGAAUUAUGGGAGUUGUAGUGAGGGUCUGAUAGUGGGUGCAGGUGAAUUAUGGGAGUUGUAGUGAGGGUCUGAUAGUGGGUGUAGGUGA